UAGGGAAUCUUCGGCAAUGGACGAAAGUCUGACCGAGCAACGCCGCGUGAGUGAAGAAGGUUUUCGGAUCGUAAAGCUCUGUUGUAGGGGAAGAACGACCAGUAAGCGAAUAGGUUACUGGAGUGACGGUACCCUACCAGAAAGCCACGGCUAACUACGUGCCAGCAGCCGCGGUAAUACGUAGGUGGCAAGCGUUGUCCGGAAUUAUUGGGCGUAAAGCGCGCGCAGGCGGUCUCUUAAGUCUGAUGUGAAAGCCCCCGGCUCAACCGGGGAGGGUCAUUGGAAACUGGGAGACUUGAGUACUGGAGAGAAGAGUGGAAUUCCACGUGUAGCGGUGAAAUGCGUAGAGAUGUGGAGGAACACCAGUGGCGAAGGCGACUCUUUGGCCAGAAACUGACGCUGAGGCGCGAAAGCGUGGGGAGCAAACA
rnacentral:rRNA from 1 species